UUCCCGAACCUGAUACACCCACCACGGCUAUAGUUUGUCCACCGUUGAUUUUGAGACUGAAAUUGCUUAAUACUAAGAGUUCUGGACGGGUCGGGUAGCAGAAAUCAACAUUCUUCAACUCAAUGCUUCCAUAGACAUUUGGAGGUUUCAGUGCUGAGGUCUCGUCAGGCUCAGAUGCUUCCAUAGACGUUUGGAGGUUUCAGUGCUGAGGUCUCGUCAGGCUCAAUCUUCGGCACUCUAUCUAUAAUAUCAAACACUGAGAUAAGGGAUUUUCGCCGCUUAAGUAUGUAAGGUGCCAAUCCAAAAGGCUCCACCAGUGCAAAGCUUGCAAAAGAGAAAACCAUGUAUUCCUUGAGAGC
rnacentral:lncRNA from 1 species